UGCCAGCAGCCGCGGUAAUACAGAGGGUGCGAGCGUUAAUCGGAAUUACUGGGCGUAAAGCGUGCGUAGGCGGUUAAUUAAGUCAGAUGUGAAAUCCCACAGCCCAACUGUGGAACUGCGUUUGAUACUGCCAAGCUUGAGGGAGUUAGAGGAAAGCGGAACUGAUGGUGGAGCGGUGAAAUGCGUUGAUAUCAUCAGGAACACCGGUGGCGAAAGCGGCUUUCUGGAGCUCUUCUGACGCUGAGGAACGAAAGCUAGGGGAGCGAACGGGAUUAGAUA
rnacentral:rRNA from 1 species